ensembl:snRNA U6 U6 spliceosomal RNA
GUGCUCACUUUGGCAGCACAUGUACUAAAAUUGGAACAAGACAUAGAAGAUUACCAGGGCCCCUGCACAAGGAUGACACAAAUUCGUGAAACAUUUCAUAUUUUA